rnacentral:rRNA from 1 species
CCUACGGGAGGCUGCAGUGGGGAAUAUUAGACAAUGGGGGGAACCCUGAUCCAGCCAUGCCGCGUGUGUGAAGAAGGCCCUCGGGUUGUAAAGCACUUUCAGUGAGGAAGAACGCCUGGUGGUUAAUACCCAUCAGGAAAGACAUCACUCACAGAAGAAGCACCGGCUAACUCCGUGCCAGCAGCCGCGGUAAUACGGAGGGUGCGAGCGUUAAUCGGAAUUACUGGGCGUAAAGCGCGCGUAGGUGGCUUGAUAAGCCGGUUGUGAAAGCCCCGGGCUCAACCUGGGAACGGCAUCCGGAACUGUCAAGCUAGAGUGCAGGAGAGGAAGGUAGAAUUCCCGGUGUAGCGGUGAAAUGCGUAGAGAUCGGGAGGAAUACCAGUGGCGAAGGCGGCCUUCUGGACUGACACUGACACUGAGGUGCGAAAGCGUGGGUAGCAAACAGGAUUAGAUACCCGAGUAGUC